AUGGAUUUCAUUACCUACAUAAAGAUGUGGGUUCUUCUUUUUUAGGCUUUGGUAGAGAAACCAUCCAGUGGUGACGAGAAGACGUACCACUAUCUCCUCACACAAUAAUACGAGGGAAAAUACAUACACCCAUUUUUCAGCUGUACGUACGUUUGAUAAGUGAGGGCCAAUAUGUGUUGUGUUUUUGUCAACAGGGAUAUACAAUGUGUUUCUACUCAUGUAAAGAUGGGUUUUUCCACAUUUCAAACUUUGGCUUAUUGUUGACCAAAUGAAACAUUAAUUUUUCUUUUUGUCAUCACAGCCAUAGAAACAAUGGAUGUAGGAUCUUUGAAAGAGGUUAGUCGAGACCCUCUUCUGUUAGGGUUAUUUUUUAUUUUCUGAUAAGCAGAACUUUAAUCCCACCUCUCUACACACUCAGCUCCAGUCUCACAUCAAGAUAGACUUCUGCUCGACCAAUGAUUACCACAUCAAGGGCUGCAGUACAGUGGUGAUGUUCAGUCUGGGCCAUGAAAACACCUGGAGGAUUGUUAUGAUUCCAAAGAGGUGGAGAAUCUCAUGUCCCUGGAAAAAACUGCAGACUUUCACUUUAAGUCUUUGAGAAGGUGUGUCUUUCAUGAAAAACCCAUUUUACGAUAUACAAGUGUACGACGAGGAUGAGGGCCACGUUAAGUUAUUAUUUUUUAAAUUUCAAGAUUAAACUCGUAAAUUUACGAUAAUAGAAUUGUAAAUUUACGAGAAUAAAACAUAACGUUUUUUUUUUUUUUUUUUGCGUGGCCCCAAGUGUUUAAGAUUCAAACAAAUCUGAAAAUUCACAGCCAGAAAACAAGGGCUGAAAUAUUGAUAAAAUCAAAACAUAUUUUGGUACCACUUAGUUUACAAGUUUUAUUUUAAGACAGAGAUAAUGCUUUGUGGUGCAUCCAUGAAUUAAACAGUAUUGGAAUAUAUCUUUGCUGCCUCGUAUACGUUUAUAUUGAUGUUUUUCCUUUUAGGCUGUAAUCAUUCUAAUUGAACUGACUUUGACAGGGAAGUGUACGGAGGGUGGAGUUCUUCAUGCUGAUCGCCCGCCACAGUGGAGAGCAGUGUCCUGACUUGUGAUGAGCGUCUUCUACAGUAUAUCAAGGUAAGACAACACCACCAACCCUUGUGCCCUCCUCAAAUGUAUUUAUAUUUUUCUGCUGCAUUAGUUAAAGUUAAAGAACUUUUGACUUGCUCAAAACAUUCAAUUAUUUUCAGGAUUGUAACCCUUUAAAAUGCAAGGUUAUUAGUUGAAUGGUGAUUAGAGUCUUUGAUAUGUCAAAGACUAGCAACAACAUUUUUUUGAUUGCAUUAGUCUUUUUUUUGGACACCUUCAUGGCUAAAAUGUACACACAAACUCUGCAAUGAAAUGAUAAAUAUUUG